rnacentral:rRNA from 1 species
UACAGAGGUCCCGAGCGUUGUUCGGAUUCAUUGGGCGUAAAGGGUGCGUAGGCGGCGGGGUAAGUUUGAUGUGAAAUCCCGGGGCUCAACCCUGGAAUUGCAUUGAAUACUACCUUGCUAGAGUACCGGAGAGGAAACUGGAAUUUACGGUGUAGCAGUGAAAUGCGUAGAGAUCGUAAGGAAGACCAGUGGCGAAGGCGGCUUUCUGGGCCUUACCUGACGCUGAGACGCGAAAGCGUGGGGAGCGAACCG